rnacentral:lncRNA from 1 species
GUGUUGAUAGGAACACUUAUCCAUGUAUAUUCUAGGGAUUGUGUGGGAUCAUCUCAUUUGAUGCGGUGUUUGGUGAAGCGAGAUUGGGACUAUGCUUCUAGCAAGGUCGAGCUUCAUCAAAUUUUACCUUCAAGUAUAAGCAUCAGGUGUUUCGAUGAGAGGUGAUAUGGUGAGGGUAUAAUAAUUGCCCCUAAAUGAAAGGCAGGUUAUUGACCUACCUUGAGUUAAUAUCUAGUGAAACACUAAAACGACUUUUGAAAUGUCAUGAUUAAUGUCCAAUCAUUGUGCCCUUUCAUUAAUUACUCUCUGUUAGCUUUGAUUUAUAAAAUUUUUGAUAUAACAACAUUUAAGAUAUUUUUUUUCAUAUUAUUGCUUAGGUCAUUUAUGUUUCAAAACAAAAUAAAUAUUUUAGAAAAUAUUUUCAAAUCCAAAGCAAGCUUAAAGAAUGCUUGUUUAAAUUGAUUUUACUCAUAUCUUGUGCUCUUAAGUUAACUGAAAAGCUUUGAAAAUAUUUUAAAGUGUGUUUUUGAAACAAAAAUAACAAUUUUAAUAGCUAAGUGUCGAUACCCCUAGGCUAGUAUCCGUAGGCCUUUCUAGAGGGGUAAGAUAAUACUUGUUCUUGAGGCACCGAUACACACCCAAGUAUCAUAUUUUACGUAAAGUAUCAGUCCCAAGUAUCGUAUUUUACGUAAAGUAUCAGUGCCUUGAAAUGUCAAUAGCCAAAGCUUUUUUCUAGAUGGGCAAGGUAUCUAUACCUUGAUACCUGUUAUUGAGGUAUCGAUACCUAACCCAAAAAGUAUCAACACCUCAUUAUUUAUAAUGACUAUUUUUUUUAGAAGUAUGGAUACCCUCUUCAUAGGUAAUGAUACAUUAGGAUGUAGGGUUGUUUCAACUUGCAUUUGUAAUGCCUCUAACGGCUCUUUUUCAUCCCCUACGACCAUAAAUAGCUAGAAUUCACUUCAUUGACAUAACGAAAGGUCGAUGAAUGAAGAGAUAUCAACGCAUUCAAGCAAGCAAAUUUUUAGUUCAUUUCUUUCCUCUUUUCUUGUUUAUUAUUUAUUGAGCUUUAUUGAAAAUCAUUAUGAUUAAAUGCUACAGUUACAUAUUUUAUAUAAUUAAAUUGGUUAAUUUAUGAGAAUGCACCACUAAUUUUGCCAUAUUUAUUGAAUUUUGUGCAGGAAUGCAAUUUGGGGCUAAAUAGAAGAAAAAGGAAACAAUUGGGCUAGAUUGAAGAAAGAAGCAAAGAAGGAGGGC